GGCUCCGUGGCGUAAUGGUGGCGCGUCGGAUUCCAAAUUAGGAAAUCAUCCGAAGGUUGUGGGUUCAAUCCCCACCGGGGUCA
rnacentral:tRNA from 1 species